rnacentral:rRNA from 1 species
UACAGAGGUGGCAAGCGUUGUUCGGAAUUACUGGGCGUAAAGGGCGAGUAGGCGGCCUUCUAGGUCAGACGUGAAAUCCCCCGGCUUAACCUGGGAACUGCGUCUGAUACUGGGAGGCUAGAGUAUGGGAGAGGGAUGUAGAAUUCCAGGUGUAGCGGUGAAAUGCGUAGAUAUCUGGAGGAAUACCGGUGGCGAAGGCGGCAUCCUGGACCAUUACUGACGCUGAAUCGCGAAAGCUAGGGGAGCAAACGGG